ACUAGUUGUUGGAGAGUUUACUUUCUAGUAGCGAAGCUAACGCGUUAAGUUCUCCGCCUGGGGAGUACUGCCGCAAGGUUAAAACUCAAAAAAAAGGACGGGGGCCCGCACAAGCGAUGGAGCAUGUGGUUUAAUUCGAUGCAACGCGAAAAACCUUACCUACCCAUACAUCCUUGGAACUAGUUAGAAAUGACUUGGUGCCUUCNGGAACCGAGUGACAGGUGANGGAUGGNUGUCGUCAGCUCGUGUCGUGAGAUGUUGGGUUAAUUCCCGUAACGAGCGCAACCCUCUUCCUUAGUUACCAGCGGUUCGGCGGGGGACUCUAAAGAGAAUGCCGGUGAUAAACUGGAGGAAGGUGGGGAUGAUGUCAAGUCAUCAUGGCCCUUACGGGUAGGGCUACACACGUGCUACAAUGGGCAGUACAAAGGGUUGCCAAACCGUGAGGUGGAGCUAAUCCCACAAAACUGUUCGUAGUCCGGAUUGAAGUCUGCAACUCGACUUCAUGAAGUUGGAACGCA
rnacentral:rRNA from 1 species